AGAUACUGCACGAUGUUGGUCCGACAUAUAUUCAUAUAUCUUCUCUUGCCCAGUUACGCUUUGGCACAGAUUUGCACAGUAAAUAAAUAUGUUGGGAACCAACUAAAAAAAGUUAAAGUAUGCUGCAAUGGCUAUUACCGUACACGCAGUGCGCAACUCGAAUGUUCUCCCAUAUGUAAAAAUUGUAGGAAAGGCAAAUGUAUAAAGCCAAAUGUCUGCCAAUGCUUUGCGGGCUACGACAAUUUCAACCAUUUGCCAAAUGCUUAUUGCGUUCCGAAAUGCAAGGGCGACUG